AGGUUUCCGUAGGUGAACCUGCGGAAGGAACAUUA
rnacentral:rRNA from 1 species